rnacentral:tRNA from 1 species
CUCCGUUUAGCUCAGUUUGGUGGAGCGUCCGGUUUGGGACCGGAAGGACGUUCGUUCGAAUCGAACAACGGAGA